ensembl:lncRNA
GGCACGGGGCGCGGCCCCCGGUCGUCACACUGGACGACGCACACAUACGUCACACACACACACACGCAUACGCACACACAAUAACGCACACACACAGACUGACGCACAUGCACACAUACGUCACACACACACAGGCAGCCGGACCCUCUACAGCCCCCCCCUCCCAGCAGGUCGCCGUGGCGAUCAGAGACUGUAGCACAACCGCUUGAGACGUCGCCAAACCAAGAAUGUUUCCUCUAUUUAUUUAUUUUAUAAUAACGUGUAUAUAUGUAUGCAUAUAGAGACAGAGAUGGCAUACACACCGGCCUACAAACAUGCAUGAGCAUGUGCACAGAUGUGAGGGGCGUGGCCUGUCAGAGACACGCCCCCGGCUUCCAGGCAUCAUGUAUAUGGAGAGGUAUGUCUAAUGUUAAGCGCCUUGAGUCCAGACUGUUUUCUAUAGUAGUUUUACUCCAGAAUGCAGUGUAGCGGUCAGCGAGAGGGAGAAGAACAAGGGAGGGGGCGGAGCUAUAAUAAUUAUGCACGUGGACAAACAUCUUUUUAUUAUUUGUUGCCAAUUUUGAAAAUAAUCAAACUUGAUAAUUGCACAGUAUUAAUGACCUCAUCUAACGUGUUGAGUAUCAUCAACGUUACAAAAAAAUAACCUCAACAUUAAAAAUGACUUAAAAGAUCCAGGCAUAUUGUUUUUAACAUUAGAAUGUGCAUGUGUGAGUGUGCGCGUGUAUAUCGUGUGGGCAUGUGUGUGUGUGUGUGUGUGUGUGUGUGUGUGUGUGUGUGUGUGUGUGUGUGUGUGUGUGUGUGUGUGUGUGUGUUUGUAUGCGCAUGCAUGCUAGUGCAUGAACAUGCACCCGGGCGUGUGCACGUGGCCCUUCCCUUGAUCACCUCCCGGGGAGAAGAGCUUCCAGUUUGCUGCCUUCUGUUUCAGUGCUUAUGUACAUAAACCGCCAAGUAAAGACUGACACAGGACAUCAUGAUGUUUUUUUGUAUUAGUAUUUGAUUAAAUGAUAACUUCUAUCAUCAAUCCAGCUUGAAUAACUUCCUUUAUCCAUUAGGAAAUGAUUGUAGAAUUUUUGAAACUUAAUGGGUAAGGAAAUAAUUGUAGAAUUUUUGAAACUUAAUGGGUAACUAUAUUUCUUUUCCAUUUUUCUAUCUUUUUGUUCGGCACUUGUUAAAUUACCUCAGAUGAAAUGGAAAUGAGUUCGAGGAAAUAUGCUAAUGCUGAAUAUUUUCCGAAUUUCUGAAAAAAGCAAUUCUGGCACAUUGUAUAUUUUGUAAAGUGUAAAGCAGUUAUGUGAAGAGUUCAUUUGAAAAAAGGAAAAAUAACGUAACUUCACACUAGUAUUACAAUCAAGAAAUAUUAUAAAACAAUCAAAGCGACUUCAAUUUGAUAUGAAAUUGGAUAUUGAAUUGGAUGUUCAACAAUGGAUUAAGGUUAUUGGUUUUCUUUUGCAAAUGAACUCAUCGGAAAUAACAAGUAUGUCAGUGCUUUAGUUUUUUAUUGAAUAGUUGAAGAUAUUCCAUAGACAUUGUAUAUUAACAAAGAGUAUGAUGUCAAUCAUUAUUUGUACGCAACUUGUAACCACUGGAGGUCGCUAUUUUUUAACUUUUCUGUGAACGCCACUUCAUAUAAAACCUUUUGG